rnacentral:rRNA from 1 species
GAUGAACGCUGGCGGCGUGCUUAACACAUGCAAGUCGAACGUGAGAGGUAGCAAUAUCUUGAAAGUGGCGAACGGGUGAGUAACACGUAGGUAACCUGCCUCGGAGUGGGGGAUAACGGUUAGAAAUGACUGCUAAUACCGCAUGAAUCCAUGGAUUAGGGAUAAUCGGUGGAGAAAACUCUGGUGCUUCGAGAGGGGCCUGCGUCUGAUUAGAUAGUUGGCGGGGUAAUGGCCCACCAAGGCGACGAUCAGUAGCCGGCCUGAGAGGGUGAUCGGCCACACUGGAACUGAGACACGGUCCAGACUCCUACGGGAGGCAGCAGUGGGGAAUUUUGCGCAAUGGACGAAAGUCUGACGCAGCAACGCCGCGUGGGUGAUGAAGGUCUUCGGACUGUAAAACCCUGUCGUCAGGGACGAAGGUGGCAGUGUUAAUAGCGCUGUUACUUGACGGUACCUGGAGAGGAAGCCCCGGCUAACUCUGUGCCAGCCGCCGCCGUAACAC